AGCCUUUUCCCCAUAUCUCAAUGGUUGCUUCUCAAGGCGUAACAUUAGGUUGGUAAUUGACUCUCCUUUUCCCUUUAAAACUCCAUUCUACUCCAUCACUUUGUGUUAGUAUUGGGAAGAUAUUUAGUUUAUUGUAAAGUGAGAAAUACAUACGGUGCAGAGGGGGUGAAAAGCAUAUGGUGCUAGCUGAUCUAUGUAAGUUGGGUAGUUCCAUCGGCCCGGUGGGUUGCUCUUCUCUUCUAUGUGAUAAGCAGAUAUUGCUAAGGGUUGCAUGAAGGAAAAGUUCUUUGGGCUUGCAUCGUGAUAACUGUUUUUUGGGUCUACAAACUUAAACCAUAUAGAAAACCUUUGUAGUUAUAUUUAGCUAAUUUUAUUUCAGUAGUGUAAGUUUACUCCUAUUUAUCUGAUCUAGUUCAUCAUGUUCUUGAAGAAAGAUAUGAUUUAUUGGCUUUGAGCAUCAGACCACAUUACUUAUGUCGAUACUUUGUUCUUCUAAUUGAUACGGAUUCUGUUGGGAAAUAUAUUGCUCAGGGAGCAUCAUCAGUUGUUUUAUAUGAUGCCAUAUUUUGAUAAAGAAGCAAUUGGUCAAAAAUAUAUAUAUAUAUAUAUAUAUAUAUAUAUAUAUCAACUUGCACAUGCCGCAGCUUUCCAUGGCAAUGAAGCUGCCCAUGGCAAUGAAGCUGUAGUCCGGUUAGAUGUUGUACUCUAUUUCAUAAUGAUGUUUUUUUCACUUAUGUAGGAUGUUUAUUCAUAACAUUGUUAUUGUUACUAUAAUAUUGUUUUCCCUGUUUAUCUUCAACUGAAAAUUUACUGCUACAAUUAAUUUAGAAACUUCGAGAGUGGACAAAACCUAUGUGGCUUUGUUCUGGGUAAAUGCUGGCAUACCACAUCUUUUACAUUGACAUUUCAAUAGGCAAACCCGGGCUUUCUUGUUGGAGGUGUUCGGAAUUUGGAUUCGAGCAGGUGUGUCCUAGGAGCUACUUUUUGUCGUUGACAAAGGGCUAUUUGUUAGGAGCCAGAAAAAGCUGGUUACUCUUGGAGGUGGACGGUUUUGUCUAUUACAUUGCGUGUUAGAUUUGGAUGGACUACGGUGGUUAUUUAGGGAAACAAGGAAGAAUUGAAGUUACUCGUCUGGACUAGGAUUAAGCUUUUAGCUUCUUCUUGGACUUCUUUGCUGAAGAAUUUUAACUUUCUUAUUGUGUAUUGAGUAUAUUAAGUGUUCUGUAAAGCCAAAUCGAGAUUUCCAUCUAUAUUAACAGUCUCAUAUCC
rnacentral:lncRNA from 1 species